rnacentral:lncRNA from 1 species
AAAAGUGAUCUAUCAAAUCAAUCUAAAUUGGAGAUGUCAGAUGCACACAUUGGUUCAAUGAAAGAGUCAAGUGCAAGAUUUAGAAAAUCUAUUAAGCUCACAUGUCAUUAGCCUCGAACAUGCUAUUUAAAUUUCAACAUCAAGCACAUUUGGCCUAGAAAACUUAUACUAGGAGCACAUCAAGUAUGUGCAGAUUUUUUUUACCGAACUUUUAACCUUGUAUCAAGUGAAAAAAAGUUGGUUUCAUCUAAAACAUAAUUUCAACUAACAAAAGAAUAUAUCAAGUAAUUGCCCAGAUUAUGGGGACAUAUGCCCAUAUCUUACAUAACUAGCUACUUUUUUGCUUUUUCUAAUGUAUUUUUCCCAAUAUAUUCAUCUUCACUAUGUCAUGUAGUAUCCAAGUUACAGCAUACAGAAUACUUAUACCAAAAUCAAUUAUUACAAUAGCUUCUUCAUAAUCCUCACAACUUCUCUAACAAUCAUUUUCUCUAAUUUAUAAACUUCACAUUUUUACUUUUCUCAGUUUUUAACAGUUCUGGUCAGAGUAGUUUAUUGUCAGGUAAAAAUGACAGAAUGGUUUUGCCAAAAGGUGAAACAAAUUGUUCGGCAUUAACAUUGGCCAAAGCAUGCUCUUAAAUUGAUAGUAUAUAUAUCAAGAUGCACGAACAAGGCAAGUGCCAAGAAGGACCUCAAAAGCUCCAAUCAAGCAGCAGAAUAAGAAUCAAGCACUACUUCAA